CUCUGCUGAUCUCUGAGGAGAGUUGUGAAUUCCUGUGAGGUGAGGUUAACUUUUGUUCUUUUUUAUACACCUGCAUUGACCGUCUCCAUUUUUCCCCUGACAUAAAUGACUCCGUUUGAGUUUGGCUCUACAUUGUCAUUGCAGGAACUGGCUCAGAGAGGACCUGCUUCCCUUGCCUCUCACGUCUUAUGUUGAUCAAGGGCUUCCGGCUGUGUUGGCAGGUGUCACAGAGGAGGGAGGAUCACGGAUGUGUGAGCGCCACAUGACUUAUUCGGGGAAAUGGAUCAAAUCCAGACUGGGUUGCCAAGGAAGCCAGAGUGGAGGCUGUCGGAAGGAGGGUUUGAAUGAACUUUGGCUGCUCCACACGCAGGCUGAUUACUGAGGAAACAUCAAAAGCUUCACCCGAAUGACUCAUCACCCAGAUCCAACAGAGGAACAGAAUUUGGGGGUGGUAGAAAAAAAUCAAUAAAACACACUGCCCAAAGGAUUUUCAAGCUUGAGGAUGGGAGAGUGUAAAGGAGCAAUCGUGUAAACAAUAAAUGACGAUAUAAAGAAGAAUGAGAAGUAAUGAUCAAAAGGAGAUCAUUAAGAGGAUGUAACCUCUAGUUGACCUGAGGGCUGAAUCUGGGCAAUAGGAACCUCUUCAGCCCCUCCCCUUGGAAUGUAUGUCCUGCGCACCGUUUCCUACAGCUGGAGCUGUUGUCAAGGAUGCAACUUUGAAAGAGCAACCUGUUGUUGAGGCCAUUGAUGGUACAUGUGACUGAACUAGGCUUUCCACAUCACUAGGCCCACGUGCAACAAGUAAGCAGGCAUAGUCUUUCUGGAAGAGGAGCACGGGCACCUGCUUGCUAAUUUCCCUCACUACCAAGAAACCUGAAUCAUCACCAGAGACCCCAAACAUAGGAUUUUGAAAACAACAAAGUAGAUGAGAGCAGAGAAAAGGAGGGACAGAUGCACAAUGGGAGACAAAGAAAGAACAAAAGGGACAGGAGGGGCACGAUACAUCUGGCUGUGCCUGAAGCAAGAACUACUGUUGGAUUUUUUACUAACAUGAGCCAAUCACUUCCGUUGACUUUAACCAUCUAUACAAAAUCACAGAAGACUGGCAUAUGGAGGUUAACCCAAGGGAUUUGGGGAGAACUUUCUCCUCCAUUAAAAUUUUGAGAAAGAUA